CGUAAACGAUGAGUGCUAAGUGUUGGAGGGUUCCGCCUUUCAGUGCUGCAGCUAACGCAUUAAGCACUCCGCUGGGGAGUACGACCGCAAGGUUGAAACUCAAAGGAAUUGACGGGGGCCCGCACAAGCGGUGGAGCAUGUGGUUUAAUUCGAAGCAACGCGAAGAACCUUACCAGGUCUUGACAUCCUUUGACCACUCUAGAGAUAGAGCUUUCCCUUCGGGGACAAAGUGACAGGUGGUGCAUGGUUGUCGUCAGCUCGUGUCGUGAGAUGUUGGGUUAAGUCCCGCAACGAGCGCAACCCUUAUUGUUAGUUGCCAUCAUUCAGUUGGGCACUCUAGCGAGACUGCCGGUGACAAACCGGAGGAAGGUGGGGAUGACGUCAAAUCAUCAUGCCCCUUAUGACCUGGGCUACACACGUGCUACAAUGGGAAGUACAACGAGUCGCUAGGCCGCGGGGUCAUGCAAAUCUCUUAAAGCUUCUCUCAGUUCGGAUUGCAGGCUGCAACUCGCCUGCAUGAAGCCGGAAUCGCUAGUAAUCGCGGAUCAGCACGCCGCGGUGAAUACGUUCCCGGGCCUUGUACACACCGCCCGUCACACCACGAAAGUUUGUAACACCCGAAGUCGGUGAGGUAACCUUUUGGAGCCAGCCGCCUAAGGUGGGAUAGAUGAUUGGGGUGAAGUCGUAACAAGGUAACCAAGGGCGAAUUCUG
rnacentral:rRNA from 1 species